GCGGGGAUAGCUCAGUUGGUUGAGCGUCAGACUGAAAGAUCUGAAGGUCAGGUGUUCGCUCCACCUUCAUCGCA